GAAGACCACCACUCUGCUAUCAAAUCAAAGUCACUUACUCACUCCUGACAGUUCUAUCAGUGCUCUAUUUGAUGAAGAAUAUGGCUGCAUUCACUUCACUUGCUCUGACAAGGCGGAGGAGAAGGCAUAUGGAGUUUAGUGAGAGCCAUUAAGAAUGUCUGCUGUGUUUGUUAUAUUAAAUGUAAAGUGGCUUGAGCUGUGUUUAUUUGCUUUUUCCAUUUUAGAGACAGAAAUGAAAAAAGAAAAAAUUUAUUUGCGUUUUAUUCUAAAAUACAGAAAUACAGAUAAACCUAAAUCAUAAACCAUAAUCAUUUUAAUCCACUUCCCAAACUCCAGCCUUCUGGGCAACAAAUGUUAAAAUGUUGCAUAAGACAAUAAUAUGUUAAUUGUAUGGAAUGGUGCAGCCAUAAAAGGUUUCAAUAUUUCACUCAGUGUAAGUGUUGGGGCUACUUCCAUCCUGUUCUCCACAUUAAUGAACUGCUCUAAUUGUUUAUCACCACCAGAGGGGCCCAUAGCACAGAUAACAACUCUGCAUAGUACUAAGCACAAAACAAAUGAUAUAACAACUUACAUCACUGCUGCUCCAGUAACAGAACUGUAGUAUUUACUUGUUAGAACUACCAUAUUACAGUACUACAGAUAACUCAUGUUUUUAUAUUUCUGAGUGUGAUGGUUCCUUUUUGGCCUGGGGAACAGUAGUUCAUCUUAAUUCAUGGUCCUCAGCAGCAGUAUUACUAAAUUAAUUCUCUUGAAUCUUACUGGGUUUUUUAUUUUUUUUUAUAUUUCUUUUAUUGUUAUAGCUCAGUCAUCUGUUGCUGUUGUGUCCUAAAACCUGCUCAAUAACUCCCCGGAUAUGAUUGUAUUUUUCAAUUACAUUCUGUUUUUUGAUGAUGAGUAGUUAAAGGAAAUAAGAAUUAUAGUGAAAAGAGAUGCUUCUGUACAGAUAUAUGGAAAUGAACAAUGGUGUUUGCUCUAUUUGAAAAGUGUCCUGAGAUAACUUUUGUUAUGAAUUAGCGCUAUACAAAUAAAAUUGAAUUGAAUUGAAUUGAAUUGAAUUGUUUAUAGAAUAUAAUGUGAAUUAUAUGCUGUGGUCUUCACAGUCCCCAGAUCUCAACCCAACUGAAGACCUAUGGAAGAUUUUGGUAGAUAGCACUCGCUACCAUCAUCAACAAAAAAAAGAAAAGAGGGCAGUCCCAAACAAUAAACAAGUUGCAAAAACUAAACUGCCCCUCUGAACUUUAAACUUUAAAUAAACUCACAUUCCAUUUACCGUUCAACUCACUGUUUCAAGGCUGGGGCUGACAGGUUUUCAGUGGCACCCUGAAGGAUUCAUCCGUCAUCCACAGUCACAGAAACAUUUGAGAUCCCCUGCAGAACCCUUUCUGUUCAGAGGAUAUGAGGAAGAUGGAAAGAGGGAGUGAGAGAGCGAGGCAAACAGAGAAAGUUCCUAAGCCGCCUCUUCAGAAUGACAGCCCACUGGAAUCAAGAAAGGGGGUGGCUGGCUGGCUGGUUUGGUCGGUGGCUGGUGCCUUUUUCCACUUAAAUAAUACAGAGGGACUGGAACAUGAUUGGACUUGGGAACUGGGAAUCCCUCUGUGAAGACAUCGUUGGACUUGGACAGGUGCUGAGAGGAGCUGGAGAAACAACACUGGAAUCUAUUCAGGACUAAGACAGUGGGACAGAGCUAUAUGUGGGGACAAUCAGUAAGAGGCCUAAUUAACAAAAGCAGUACAUAAAGUAUUGCUUGAUCUGAAAUUGAUCCAACCAAAAUAAUUUUGUUUUUUGCUGCUGUAUGAAUCUUUUACUGUAAAAGUUUUUCUGUGGUGUGCAGAGGAAUUACAUGAAGUUGUGGGAGGCAGGAGGACCACAGCUUAGAGUGGCAGGUAAGAAGCUCAGUGUAUGGAGAAUUUCUAUAGGUGGACAGCUGCAACACAUGGGACUUUUGAAAAUGUUUACCUAAUAUUGUUUUAGGUGUCCAGCAGUACUGAAAGGAGAAAUGGUGCUGAAUCUGACAGGAUGACUGUAGUUCAAAGGUGUAUUUUUUUUGGUGUAAAUUGUGUAAGCUCUGUGGUUAAAACAUCCUCUGUGAGAGAAAAAUGUUUUCUGAGUUUCUGAGACUGGAUUAAUGCAUUGAACCAAGAGGACCUUAUUUUAAAGGAACACAGAAGGUCCACAGAUUUCAGACAUAUCUUUAAAUGUUCACUUAAAUAACAGAAUCUAUGUAAAGCUCUUUCAUUUUACUGAAAGUAAAACAUAGCAGACCUUAAUUGUAUUGAAGCUGAAGUUCUUAUUCAUUAAUUACAAUUGUUCCCAUUGGAAGCAAAAUUGACCAAU